GAUUCUGCACUUGUGUUUAAGCUUUCAGUAACACAAGAUUUUUUUUUGCCCCAGAUAAAUGGGACCGAGUGGUUUGCAGGUGAAGCUCCAGGUGUCUAAAAGGUAAUAUGUUUUUGAGCCUAAAAGAAAGCCAACUGGUGUCUCCUGACAAGGCAGAAAGUUGCAUCAGUUGUCAGUAGAAAUCAAGCAAUAGAGGACACUUCUGUUUUUCUCUCACACAGUAUGUUGUAUUAUCAUGUUUCAUAACAAUUGAGCCUAUAGAUUCUGUACGUUUUGUCAGUAUUUCCCCUAAAACAGUUUUUAUUAAAGGGAUUUUGACUGGGUCAUAACUGUACAGAGCAGUGUCUCAAUUUUGAUGAUUCGCACAAUACACAGAUCAUCAAGACGACGGUUAACGAAGGUAAAUACAACGUAAAAUUUUCCAUGAUGAAAUUCUGGCAUUUAACUCUGAAAUUGCAGCCUUUAAGAAUGAUAAGAGUUACGUAAAGAAAGCUGUGAAACCACAACUGAAAACUGACUUACAAUAGAUCAGUGUGCCAAAAUUUAAUGUUAUGAUACCAUGUUAUUCUAAAUUAGGGUUUUGGUAUAAUUUUUUGUUUAUCGCUUAACAUGAUUAGCAUGACUAGCCCGAAUAUUUUUGAGAUAUUUUGGUUGUUUGGAGCCAUAUAUCACAGAGGCAAAGAUGUGGCUCCAUAAUUUUUCAUUAGUUGGAUGUGAAAUAUGGCCUGCCUCAAGUGAUAUUCCAAUUUGACUUCUAACUCUUCUGUAUUUUCAGUUCAUUGCUUCCCCCAUUGCUUCAAGUAUUCAACUUGAAUUUACUUUAAAGGGAGUCUCAUAAAGGUGAAAGAGCCACACCUGGUGCUCGUUUCCACCUAUCAAGCCCCCAUAUCCCGCCGCCCCCCAGUUCCAGACAGAGCCAAGUGCAGAGCAACCAAUAUCAAGACAUUUUCAUACCCCAGUGCAGCAAGUGCGAUAUGACAAGUGGGAGAUGAACAUGGAAUCAGAUGCUGUGUUUUUUUUUUUUUUUUUUUUUUUUUCUCUCAAAGCUUUCUAGGCUUCUUUGAAAGAUGUUUCUGGUUUAAUUUAGCAUUUUUCUCUUUGGCA
rnacentral:lncRNA from 1 species